GUGACUGACUCAGACCGCCGCGACUUGGCCGCGCCUGGCACCCUCGCCACCUGGCGCACCUCGGCCCGGAGGCGUCAGACCCCGCUGGGGAAGCUGCGGGGGCGCGCCCUGGAGCCCAGAGCGACAAGGGCAUUACCCACCUUCCUGGGACGGAGAUGCCCAGGACCUUGUGUUGGCUCCUCCUGGCCAGUGGGUUUGUCUGGUCUCACUUUGUCACCCAGGCUGGAGUGUAGUGGGGCAAUCUCAGCUCAUUGCGCCUCCGCCUCUGGGUCCAAGCUAUUCUCCCACGUCAGCCUCCCAAGUAGCUGGGAUUACAGGCACGCACCAUCAGCCAAGACAUAGUCUCAUCACUCUGUCACCCAGGCUGGAAUGUAGUAGUGCAAUCUCGGCUCUCUGCAACCUUCACCUCCUGGAUUCAAGUGAUUCUCCUGCCUCAGCCUCCUGAGUAGCUGGGAUUACAGCUGCUGCAUCUGGCCCCUCAAGGGUAAAGUCAAGGGGAAAAGGAGAUUGAGAGGAAGGACAGUCUGUGAAUUGGGUCUCACCGUGUUUCCCAGAGUGAAGUACAGUGUUGUGAUAUCAGUUCAUUGCAACUUCUGUCUUCCGAGCUCAAGCAAUCCUCUUGCCUCAGCCUCUCGAGUAGCUGGGACUGACUACAGGCAUGAACCACCACACCUGGCUAAUUUUUUUGUAUUUUGGUCGAAAAGACGGUUUCGCCAUGUUGUACAGCAGCCUGACAACUUAGCCAACCAGCCAGCCUCUCCGCCAGCCUAACAUCCAUGUUCUCAGCCAGCCUCCUAGCCAGCCUCUGGAUCUGCCAGCCAUCCAGACGGACUUUCAGCCAGUGAGCCAUCCUCUCAGCCUGCCUCCAAGUCAGCCUCUCGGCCUAUCUGCCAGAAAGCCUCUAAGCCAGCCAACUUGGUGGCCACCACCAAGCCAGCCUCUUUGCCAGCCUCACAUCUAGUCCCUUGGCCAACCUCCCAGACAUCUUCUUAGCCAGCUAGCCAUCCUGCUUCUCCGCCUGCCUCCCAGCCAAACUUUUGGUCUGCUGGCAAUCCAGUCUCUCAGCCAGCCAUGCAGACUCUCAGCCUGCCUUCCUGCCAGCUUCUUGCCUGCUGGACAGACUCUAAACCAGCCAAUUUGCCAGCCAGCCACCAAGCCUAUCAACAUGCAGCAUAUAUCCUAUGGCCAAAUAUGUCUACUCUAGUUCUUACCAUUACAUCCCCUUCUCAGUUGGACGGAAAGAAGAAAGGACACAGUAUACACUUUUAUAGACCAGAACUAGAAGUUGUCCAUUACAUUUACCCAUAUUCUAUAGACUAGACCUUAAUCAAAUGGCUACAUCCAACUUCAAAAGAGGCAGAAAAAUGAAAUCCUUAUUCUGGGCAUUCAUGUACUCUGUUAAAUUCCAGGGUUCUGUUACUAAGAGAAUAAAAGGAGGAUAUCUAUUUGGGGAUUAUAUAUAUAUAUAUAUACACACACACACACAUAUACAUAUACAGAGUCCCAACUGGCAGUUUUUAUCAUAGAAUCAUCCACUUCUAGGCUAAACAUGAAUGUUCUAUCAAAUAUUUUGAUUUAGCUUUGAAGUAGUUAAUACUAGGCAAUCCUUACUGCUAGAAAUUGAAUAGCAAGGCUUUUUGCCUGGGAUGGCACGAAGCUUGGGUCAAUACAAAAUUAUUUGUUAACAAGAAUAGGAUAGUGUUGAUUUUUCUGUGAUCAUGAUGGAAAGUGCAUCCAACUUCUUCAAAAAUAAUAUAAAGUCAUCGGAAACUAGUUGCUGUUCCAUCUAGAGAUAACAAAUACCUCCUAUAUUGCUGUGGUGCUAUUAAGAUGUAGACUGUGGUUACUAGGGCCUGUGGGGGACCAGGAGGAGGGAGAGCAUCAGGAUAAAUAGCUAAUCCAUGGGGGACUUAAUACCUAGGUGAUGGGUUGAUAGGUACAGCAAACCACCAUGGCCCAUGUUUACCUAUGUAACAAACCUGCACAUCCUGCACAUGUAAACCAGAACUCAAAAUUAACUUAAAAAAAAAUGUUAUGUUGGAAAGAGAAAAAAUAAAAUGCAGAAAACAAGCAAAAAAAUUUUAACUGUGGAUUAUGUUAAAGCCUGAAAGAUCUACACUGAGCCCAUGCAGAUGAGUCUAUGAAUAAUAGAUGUCUGCAAGGGUCAAGGAGUAGUCAUGAUCACUAUUGACAAUCAAUGGAUUAAUAGAUUAAAUGAAUCAUAAAUAAGAAAAUAUAAAUAAUAUGCUAUUCACUAAUUAAAACAGUCACAUUGUAGGCAAUAAAGAACAGUUAUUCUAACUAAAAAUAUAAACGCACAUGUGAAAACCGUCAGUCUAUCUAUGAGAUUGUCUAUAAGAUUAACUUGGACUACAUGUGAGAGAAAAAUCAACAUAACAGCAACCCAUUCCAAAGUCCAUGAAGACAGAAUACAUCAAAAACAUUUUAUAGACAUUUCCAUUAAAAGUCAUUUUCUUUUGAAGAUACAUAUACAAAAACAACUACGGAACAACAAAAAAAUUAUUGCAAAUAUUGUAAUACUAAAAGCAAAUGGCUCAAUGUUGAAGACUAAUGUUUUCCCACAUUUUGCUUACUUUAACUAGUAAACACUAACUUACAGGGAAUUUACCACUUUAAGAAAAAUGAGUCAAUUAAAAAGAGCCCCUUUAUAUGGCUUCGACUUAUAUAGUGUUCUAAUUUCAUUUUCUGUAUUUUCAUCUCUCUUUCUUUUAUUUUUUUACCUUGUCAAAUAUUUUUCCAUGCAUUCACUUUGGGAGGAGCACUGUAAAUAACUACAGCUCUCUUGUUUAGUACUAGAGAGCUUUUAAAUCCCUUCGUAUGUAAUUUUCAUUUACUUCUUACAUUAGUAACUUUCAUUUACUUACUAAUGCUUAUUAAUACAAAGUACAAUGUCUUAGAAUGUCUGAAGGUCAAUGUUUCUGAAUUUUCUCCUGUUUUGUAAAAUCCAGAAGUCCUGAUUUGUAAUAUUUUUAACUGACGAGCAUUCUCCUGCAUUCUGCAGCCUUCAAGAAGCACCGAAUGUAAUUAACAAGUUCACUGGACCCAGCAAUACCAUUUCAAAAUGUAACUACUUCUCAAAUCACUAUUCACAUCCUGGUAGAAGUCAAGCAAUGAAGAUGGCACAGAAACACAUCCCAAAUACUAUGAUACCAUAAAGUAUACUGUAGCAAUGCAUUGGCACACCCUCAUUUGAACAUUUGUCUCAGAAGAUUUUGACAGAAGAUAAAACUGUCUGGUUUUUAUUUCAUUGGUUUCAUGAAAAUUUAUUUCACUGGUUUCAUGUCACAGGCCCAUGACUGUAUAAAGAGUCAUAAUCUUUACAAACACAACAAUGACUCACAGCGACAUGUUGCAAAGCUGUAAUCGAAAACACUGAUGUUGAUUUCAGAGGCCAUUAAU